rnacentral:rRNA from 1 species
UAACACURACGCUCAUGCACGAAAGCGUGGGGAGCAAACAGGAUUAGAUACCCUGGUAGUCCACGCCCUAAACGAUGCUGACUAGUUGUUCGGGAUUUACAUCCUGAGUAACGUAGCUAACGCGUGAAGUCAGCCGCCUGGGGAGUACGGUCGCAAGAUUAAAACUCAAAGGAAUUGACGGGGACCCGCACAAGCGGUGGAUGAUGUGGAUUAAUUCGAUGCAACGCGAAAAGCCUUACCUACCCUUGACAUGUGACUAACGAAGUAGAGAUACAUUAGGUGCUCGUAAGAGAAAGUCAACACAGGUGCUGCAUGGCUGUCGUCAGCCCGUGUCGUGAGAUGUUGGGUUAAGUCCCGCAACGAGCGCAACCCUUGUCUUUAGUUGCUACGCAAGAGCACUCUAAAGAGACUGCCGGUGACAAACCGGAGGAAGGUGGGGAUGACGUCAAGUCCUCAUGGCCCUUAUGGGUAGGGCUUCACACGUCAUACAAUGGUGCAUACAGAGGGUUGCCAACCCGCGAGGGGGAGCUAAUCUCAGAAAAUGCAUCGUAGUCCGGAUCGUAGUCUGCAACUCGACUACGUGAAGCUGGAAUCGCUAGUAAUCGCGGAUCAGAAUGUCGCGGUGAAUACGUUCCCGGGUCUUGUACACACCGCCCGUCAUACCAUGGGAGUGGGUUUUGCCAGAAGCAGUUAGCCUAACCGCAAGGAGGGCGACUGCCACGGCAGGGUUCAUGACUGGGGUAAAGUCGUAACAAGGUA